UUAACAGAAGCCAAAACAGAGGCCAAUCAUUGUUAAUGAUUUCAUUGAAAUAUUUCCUGUUAAG
rnacentral:tRNA from 1 species